AAGUGUCUCCAAUUCUACACUAAUAUCUAAAUUUAUUUGUUAAUCGUUUCAUUUCUAUACAACACAUUGGAACGGAAAUUUCGAAACAAAACAAAUCGCCAGUCACUCCUACGGAAUUGGAAAAAACAAGCAAUAAAAACGAAUAAUGCUUGAAGAAGGUUGUUUGAACUUCAUAUCUCUCUUAUCACUCUGACGACUGGAACCAUAAAAGUUAGUGCUCGAGGCAUUGUUAAACCGAAAAUUUCAUCAAAUUAUCACCUGGCAGAAUGGGUAAUUCGCACAGAAAAAGUAGUUAUGAUGUUCAACAAGGAAUACAACAAUUUAUGGCAGCUGAGAGAGCAGCUAAAAAGAAAAAAGAAAAGGAUAUGGCCAAGAUGAAAGGAGAUAAACAGCAAAAGGUGGCCAAGGGAUCUGGAGAAUCGCAAGUGAAGGUUGACAAUGCAAAAAUGGAUGGAUGAAAGCAGAUUUAUAUCUGUCGUUUGAAUAUGAGAUGUCAUUGUGUCUUUAGUCAAAAAAUAAUGUCAUGGUUGUUUACUGUAAAUAAAUAUUUUUUACGAAAUUGUUUUGCUUACAAUUUGUGCUAUACAUGUCAUCGAGAUUCUAGUAAUUUCUUUGAAUAUCAGGUAGUAUGUUGAAGGUAGUUGGAGUUGAUAUUUUUGGUGUUUAAGUUGUACAUUUAGAAAUGGGGUAUUUGCCGUCGCAAUCUUCGCGGUAGUGCAGGCCCGACCAGGCGGCGGCUACGAACAUUUCAAUCUAGCAGGUUAUGGAGGAGGUAGUGAAGACCACUACGGAGGCUUGGAGAUCUCAGGAGGUGGCUACGAAUCCGUGGGAGGUGAUCACGAAGCCCUUGGAGGUGGUGGCUAUGAAGCGGAAGGGCUGGGAGGAAAUGAAAUUGGACAUGGGGGUGAAGAACACCAUGAGGAAUACGUCGAUUAUCAUGCCCCUGCUAAGUACCACUACGACUAUGCUGUACACGAUCUUCAUACCCACGAUAUUAAAUCACAGUGGGAGACCAGGAAUGGCGACAAAGUCAAGGGGGAAUACACCCUAGUGGAACCUGAUGGUUCAAAAAGGAUAGUAUCGUACACAGCCGACAAACAUAUCGGAUUUAACGCUGUUGUGAAAAAAGUUCACGAUUACUAAUUUGAAAUAAAUUUAAUUUAUUUUCGUUCGUUUUCCUAAUCAGUAUUUUCAAUUAUUUUCACACGUUACUGAAAAAUAUUGUGAUCCUUUUUCGGAAGGAAAAACUUUCGGAAAAGAAUCUCUUGAACUCCAGGCUGUUCUUUCUCAGUUUUCCAAUUGCCAUAAUUUCAUAAUAAUCUAUGUACACAAUGCAAACAGAUACUCCUUCUUUGUGUUCAUGGUUUCGUCUAUGUAGCCCUCAUUUAUAACUUUUUUUAUUUAUAUUGUUUUAGUUGAGUGAGAUGAUCCUCGAGUAUUAUUUUGUAUAUAGACCUUAUAUGUUAUCUUAUUUACUUCGAAUAAAAAUGUUAUUUUUUUGAA